AGGAAAGGGUCACUUGGGUCUGGGAUGGAUAUGGAGCCUAAGGCAGGCAAGACACCUGCCAGAAGGAGGCACUCUGGAAUGGGAGUUGAGCUAAUUCCUGAGGAAACCAGCAGGAGGCACUACACUGAUAAGCUAAGGAGGGCAAUGCACAAUGUUCAAGAUCAUUAAUAAGCCAUGCUGGUGGAGGUAUUAUCUUCCCUCAGCAAAUAAAUUACAUCCAUAGUGGGAUAGCUUUAUGCAGAGAGCCAGAAAGCAUCUGGGAUAAACCUAUUUAUGCCAUGCUAGUCAUGAGAUCUUCAUCCAAAUGACAAGAGUCAUCAUCCAUAUGAACACACAAGUCAUCAAGGACAACCAAUCUUGGUGUCUCCAUUACUGUUGCCAUCAUUGUUGCCAAGAAGUAUGUUGGCUCAAGCCAGGAACAUAGAGAGUUGCCAUAAAUAAUCACACAAAUAGUUUAUCAAGUCCAGCAUCCUGUGUUUGAAAGUGGCUAGUACUAGGUGCUCCAAAUGAAGGUCCAAGAAACCACAUCAUGAACAAUUACAGAAUAAGCUGUGGAUAGGGGAAAUUUCUUUUUAACUCCUGUCUUCAAAAGUUGUCUAAGGCCCUGGAGCACUAGGGUUUAUAUAACUGACCUCUCAUUUUGCUUCCACAUCUAAUGAAACUAAGGGUUUUCUACUUAUUCAUAUAAAUGUCUAAUCCUUUUUAAUGAUUAUACAUAAUGGCAACGAGUACCACAAGUUAAUUUGUGCUCUGGAUAAAAGCAUUUUGCACUUACUAUCUUUCCAUUUCUAUUGAAUAUUCUCUUGUCCUUGUAUUAUGAGAAAGGAAAAGUAGAAGUAAACAACUGACGUUUUCUGUAUUAAUCACUAGGUUGUAUGUCUCCACCAUGCCCCCUGCCUCUCGUCUCUUUAAACUAAAUCAUCCCAAUCUUUUCAGUCUCUCUUCCUAUGCAACCUUUUCUAC